CCAGAAUCCUACGGGAGGCAGCAGUAGGGAAUCUUCCGCAAUGGGCGAAAGCCUGACGGAGCAACGCCGCGUGAGUGAUGAAGGUCUUCGGAUCGUAAAACUCUGUUAUUAGGGAAGAACAAAUGUGUAAGUAACUAUGCACGUCUUGACGGUACCUAAUCAGAAAGCCACGGCUAACUACGUGCCAGCAGCCGCGGUAAUACGUAGGUGGCAAGCGUUAUCCGGAAUUAUUGGGCGUAAAGCGCGCGUAGGCGGUUUUUUAAGUCUGAUGUGAAAGCCCACGGCUCAACCGUGGAGGGUCAUUGGAAACUGGAAAACUUGAGUGCAGAAGAGGAAAGUGGAAUUCCAUGUGUAGCGGUGAAAUGCGCAGAGAUAUGGAGGAACACCAGUGGCGAAGGCGACUUUCUGGUCUGUAACUGACGCUGAUGUGCGAAAGCGUGGGGAUCAAACAGGAUUAGAUACCCUGGUAGUCCACGCCGUAAACGAUGAGUGCUAAGUGUUAGGGGGUUUCCGCCCCUUAGUGCUGCAGCUAACGCAUUAAGCACUCCGCCUGGGGAGUACGACCGCAAGGUUGAAACUCACAGGAAUUGACGGGGGCCCGCACAAG
rnacentral:rRNA from 1 species